GAUGAAGAACGCAGCGAAAUGCGAUACGUAAUGUGAAUUGCAGAAUUCAGUGAAUCAUCGAAUCUUUGAACGCACAUUGCGCCUGCCAGCACUCUGGCAGGCAUGCCUGUUCGAGCGCCAUUUCAACCAUCAAGCCCUAGGCUUGCGUUGGAGCCCUGCGGCUGCCGCAGGCCCCUAAAAGCAGUGGCGGGCUCGCUAUCACACCGAGUGCAGUAGAUUACUCUUCGCUCAGGGCGUGUGGCGGGUUCCAGCCGUGAAACCCCCUACUUCUCAAGGUUGACCUCGGAUCAGGUAGGAAUACCCGCUGAACUUAAGCAUAUCAAUAAGCGGAGGA
rnacentral:misc_RNA from 1 species